GGCAGUUUGGCCGAGUGGUCUAAGGCGAUUGACUGUUCAUCAAUUCUCUUCGGAGGCGCAGGUUCGAAUCCUGCAGCUGUCG
rnacentral:tRNA from 1 species